CAGUUCUCUUCAGUUGGUCUUGUUUGGACUUGAUUGCAACCGAAUCGAACCAGUUAUUGUUGAUGUUGAGAUUCGGAAGGAUUUUGACCGGUUGAUAGAUAUUCAGAAUUCGGUCUUCGUGGCGGUGGAGGAGGAGGACGAGACGCAUGAAUCCGGCGGGCCAGGUCUUUGUGGCGGAAGACGGGACCGGAAGUAACCGAGCUUAUGGAGGAUAUGGUUCAUUCCAAAGGAGGAGGAGGAUGAAACACCGAGUGUCAAAAGUUCUACCCAAGGUAACCAAAAAUAUUCCAAUCUGAUCCUGCUAACAACCCAGCGUCUCCGUGUUGUCCCACGCAGUUUGUUGAACGGAAGCUGUAACGACCGCAAAAACACCUGCUCCGGAAGUGCGUAAACCGACGUUGUCCCGUACUCCGGUGGCCAUCAAUCCAUGGGACAUAAACUGUGGCGCCGCACCCCGCCGUAUCUGCGACUAGUCGAGGAG